ACUGGCAACAUUCUCAAGUUGUCAUCCAACAAACCAAGCUAACGGCCGAAUGUGAUCUGCUCGUGUACUGUUCUGUGCUCUUUUCGCUCGUUUUUUUGCGUCGUUGUCAUUGCUGUGAAAGUGUUAUGGUGGUAAAAUUAACUUGGUGAUUGCAAUCGCAAGUAUACCUACUAAAAUAAUGGAAGAAGACACAGAAAACAAAUUGGUAUCCUGGGAUUUGCCGUCAGUAGUCGUCGAGAACUUUAAAAAAAAUGAUAUAAGCAAGGAACAGUUCAAAUAUUUGGUUUUAAAUGAUACUUGAAAGAGCUUUGCAAACACAUUGUGCACCGAAUUAAACUAAAAAGUAAACUACAAGAUUACUUAGACUCAGUUACUGAUACUGAAACUGCAUACUUCUUCAAUGAAGAUUUAAUGGUUAUUAAAGCGAAAACAAACUGUAUAGAAGUGAUGCAAGUUGAUCAAGAUCAGUCAGUUAUUCUGAUAGACAUUACUUUGGAUUUGGAUUCCUACUUAAGUGUACCAAGUAGGCUUUCACUGCCAUAAUUUGAAUUGAAGAGUAUCCGCCAAUGUACUCCACAAGUAAAUAGUGUUCUAAAUUAUUAUCAAAAAUACAAACAAUUGAACUCGCAAAAAAGAAGCAUCAUUGUUGAUGUUUUGGUGAAAUAUCACUACACAUUUAUUGUUAACAACAACAUCAAACCAGAAGAAUUCAAUUUGCUAGCUGCAAAAAUAGUUUCACUUUUCCCAACUGAAAGUAUAUAUACCUACUAUAUGAAAGCUGUGCCAACAUGCAAAUCUGCUUCAAGAAAAUAUGUGCCCGCCAAAGGCAAAUUAGUGGACAAGGUUCGAAAUCUCCUGUACAUAUCAGGAGAAAAGUGCAGGGGCUUAAACCCACUUGCUCUAAUAGGGAUUCGGAUACAGAUGUAGAGUCUGUGGAAAAUAAUCAAGGGACUGCUUCAAAUGACGACGCUAUUUGGCUGAAAUAUAAUGAGCUAUGGGACCAAGUUUGUGAAAGGUGGAAUAACACCUUUGAAUUAAGACACAAACAAUUGAAACUGUACAUGAUUUUCUUGAAACCUGGGCCAUUUGAAAAGACAGCAAAGUAGAUACUCUGCAAUGACAACGACGCAAAAAAACGAACGAAAAGAAAAAGAGCACACAAGCAGAUCACAUUCAGCCAUUAGCAUUCAGUUUGUUGGAUGACAACUUGAAAAUGUUCAAAUUCAAAUGGGAUUCAAGUUCAACCCAGGACCUUGUACUUCAUAGGCAGAGUCACUACCCACGAAGAAAGAUACAGAGGCCGUUAAAACACAAAAUAAUUCCGGUGCAGAUUUACCUGCUAUAUUUUUUAAUACCACCCAAAGGCCGGAAAUCUAGGAAAGUCAAAUUCUCAACCACUGAAUCAAUCCAGGGCUUAUUAGUUCAGAUAGAUGACGCCGGAGAUAUCGACAGCGUAAUCGCAGCCCAGAAAGCUAAGGCUGCAGCCCGGAAGGAUACCGUGCAACCCUCCGUGCUCAUACAACGACCGCUACAAAACUUCGCCCAGAUAUACAUCGUUAUUCAUGAUAUCAAAUACCACGUGCAUUCAGCUGCAAAGGCGUUCGACUUGUUGUUUAAGAUUUACCACGUUUUUCACGCCAAGUAUCCCCAAGUGUGUGAGCACCUCCGCGUAAUUAUUCAAAAAAAGUGUAUCAAAUCCAUACGGCGUAUGAUACAGUAGGUACCACCGUAUAUAGUUGAUGUUUUAAACUUAGACGUUUUAAUUUUAUUAUAGUAUAGGAUCCGUACUAAGCUCGAUCUUCACCAACGUGUUAACCAGAUGAAAAUAAGUUUCUGAACAUGUCUCCUCAAUAAAAAUGAAUGGUCAAGAUUAUU
rnacentral:lncRNA from 1 species